rnacentral:rRNA from 1 species
CCCUAUGGGGUGCAUGUAACCACCAAUGCGUCAAACAUUAUUAUAGCAGAUAAUUCCACUGGAAAAAUGGCCAGAUCAGUGGUGGAUGAAAUGGGAGUUAACGUCACUGUUUAUAAAUUUGCAUCAGCCGAUGAUGUUACCCAUGAACUGGAACACGCCCUCGAUGAUUCAAAUAAGAAGAUCCUGGCAGUGGCUUACACAGACACAGUUAAACAAUUCAUAAGUCAGCAUCCAGAAGUUUCUAGCCGAAUUAUGGUGGCAGAUGCAAAUGAAAAUUCCAUCCAGCAGGGUUUAACCAAGUUAAACGUUGCCGGAUCUACCAGUGCGGGUUUUUUAACACCAUUACUAUCCGGCCUAUUAAUUGGACUGGUAUUUGGACUGGGAAUUGGCGGGAGGGC